AUUGAACGCUGGCGGCAUGCCUUACACAUGCAAGUCGAACGGUAACGGGUCCUUCGGGAUGCCGACGAGUGGCGAACGGGUGAGUAAUAUAUCGGAACGUGCCCAGUAGUGGGGGAUAACUGCUCGAAAGAGCAGCUAAUACCGCAUACGACCUGAGGGUGAAAGGGGGGGAUCGCAAGACCUCUCGCUAUUGGAGCGGCCGAUAUCAGAUUAGCUAGUUGGUGGGGUAGAGGCCUACCAAGGCUACGAUCUGUAGUUGGUCUGAGAGGACGACCAGCCACACUGGGACUGAGACACGGCCCAGACUCCUACGGGAGGCAGCAGUGGGGAAUUUUGGACAAUGGGCGCAAGCCUGAUCCAGCAAUGCCGCGUGCAGGAAGAAGGCCUCGGUUGUAACUAGCUUUGUUCAGGGAAGGAAAUACUUCUGGGUUAA
rnacentral:rRNA from 1 species